AGAGUUUGAUCCUGGCUCAGGAUGAACGCUAGCGGCAGGCCUAACACAUGCAAGUCGAGGGGCAGCACGUUAAAGAGUUUACUCUUUAUGGUGGCGACCGGCGGACGGGUGCGUAACGCGUAUGCAACCUGCCUGACACAGGGGGAUAAUCCGAAGAAAUUUGGUCUAAUACCCCAUAAUACCGAUAUAGGCAUCUAUGUUGGUUGAAAGCUUUGGUGGUGUCAGAUGGGCAUGCGUUGUAUUAGCUAGUUGGUGAGGUAACGGCUCACCAAGGCGACGAUACAUAGGGGGACUGAGAGGUUAACCCCCCACACUGGUACUGAGACACGGACCAGACUCCUACGGGAGGCAGCAGUGAGGAAUAUUGGUCAAUGGACGCAAGUCUGAACCAGCCAUGCCGCGUGCAGGAAGACGGCUCUAUGAGUUGUAAACUGCUUUUGUACUAGGGUAAUUUGCGGUACGUGUACCGUAUUGAAAGUAUAGUACGAAUAAGGAUCGGCUAACUCCGUGCCAGCAGCCGCGGUAAUACGGAGGAUCCAAGCGUUAUCCGGAUUUAUUGGGUUUAAAGGGUGCGUAGGCGGUUUGAUAAGUUAGAGGUGAAAUACCGGGGCUCAACUCCGGAACUGCCUCUAAUACUGUUGAACUAGAGAGUAGUUGCGGUAGGCGGAAUGUAUGGUGUAGCGGUGAAAUGCUUAGAGAUCAUACAGAACACCGAUUGCGAAGGCAGCUUACCAAACUAUAUCUGACGUUGAGGCACGAAAGCGUGGGGAGCAAACAGGAUUAGAUACCCUGGUAGUCCACGCAGUAAACGAUGAUAACUCGUUGUCGGCGAUAUACAGUCGGUGACCAAGCGAAAGCGAUAAGUUAUCCACCUGGGGAGUACGUUCGCAAGAAUGAAACUCAAAGGAAUUGACGGGGGCCCGCACAAGCGGAGGAACAUGUG
rnacentral:rRNA from 1 species